ensembl:lncRNA
GGUAGAAGACUCCCUUUCGAUUCGGUGUGAAAAGUACACAAAGCCCCUGAUGAUGCGAAGCCUGAGGCAGUGGCCGCUUCUGCCUUAUGGAAAGUGCCACUGGCAAUGGUUCAGCUUUGGCUGCCCUUUCUGUUACUGUACGUCUCACAUACUGAAAGCAGUUGAUCCUCCUUCGGGUAAAGAGGAGAAAGAAGAGGAGGAUGAUGAUGAAUAGAGAGCACCAUUUUUUUUUAGCAGAUUGGCAAACAGGAACACCAAACAGUGACAUCACUAACCGCCGAGCUACCAUAAGCACUGACUCCGCUGGCUCUUCACGACACUUGUUAAACUAAUAUUUAGAGUUGAAAAUAAACAACCUGCGCCGGUCAAACGAUGCCAGUGACAUCUGAUUGGUUCAGACCAGACAAAAACAAAUUAGGCCGGUGCGCGCACAGAGCCAGUACAGCGCGAACCCAAACCGACCCAACAGAGGCUCCGCUGUUCAGCCACAGGCACUGGUCUAUACACCGCCUUCAGCCCUCUGUACACACAAAC